rnacentral:rRNA from 1 species
GACGAACGCUGGCGGCGUGCCUAACACAUGCAAGUCGAACGGAACUGUUUUGAAAGAUUUCUUCGGAAUGAAUUUGAUUUAGUUUAGUGGCGGACGGGUGAGUAACGCGUGAGUAACCUGCCUUCAAGAGGGGAAUAACAUUCUGAAAAGAAUGCUAAUACCGCAUGACAUAUCGGAACCACAUGGUUUUGAUAUCAAAGAUUUUAUCGCUUGAAGAUGGACUCGCGUCCGAUUAGUUAGUUGGUGAGGUAACGGCUCACCAAGACCGCGAUCGGUAGCCGGACUGAGAGGUUGAACGGCCACAUUGGGACUGAGACACGGCCCAGACUCCUACGGGAGGCAGCAGUGGGGGAUAUUGCGCAAUGGGGGCAAACCUGACGCAGCAACGCCGCGUGAAGGAUGAAGGUUUUCGGAGUGUAAACUUCUUUUAUUAAGGACGAAAAAUGACGGUACUUAAUGAAUAAGCUCCGGCUAACUACGUG